rnacentral:rRNA from 1 species
UACGUAGGGUGCAAGCGUUGUCCGGAAUUAUUGGGCGUAAAGAGCUCGUAGGCGGUUUGUUGCGUCGGCUGUGAAAUCCCGAGGCUCAACCUCGGGUCUGCAGUCGAUACGAGCAAACUAGAGUGUUGCAGGGGAGACUGGAAUUCCUGGUGUAGCGGUGAAAUGACGCAGAGUAUCAGGAGGAACACCGGUGGCGAAGGCGGUGAUCUGGGCCGGUACUGACGCUGGAGGAGCGAAAGCCGUGGGGAGCGAACAGG